rnacentral:misc_RNA from 1 species
CACGAGUGCCAUCAACCAGGAUGUGUAAAGGACUCGCCAUUUGUACAUGAUGGCGGGUCGUGUCUGUCAGGAGAUAUACAAGCUGUGUGUGUUUACAGAAAUACUGAUUCUGUGUUUUGGUCAGAGCACACACAUGAGAAAUAUUGCACUGAACAAAAGAUGUGGCAUCAGCUCUCGGUAUGUAACCAGCUAUAAUUUGAGCUCAGGCGAUUGCUCGGCUGUAAUAAAUGGAAACACAAACACCGUCUUACACCUGAAUAGUAAUCCACCCAACUGCAUCCACACUGCGGUAAACGACCUUUCACCCUUCUGGUGGGUGGAUCUGGGACAGGAGGUCGCCAUCAGUGUCAUCACCAUCUAUGGGCGGAAUGAAUAUAUAGACAGAAUGCGUUGCGUUAACGUUUCAGUUGAUGGAAAAGUCGUCAAACGAUUCGUCGAUAGGAACGUCUGGAGCAACGAUAAAUAUAGUAUCACAGUUGUUCGUAGAGGACAAGUAGUCAACUUCACCAAAGACUGUGACUUUGAGGAAACAAUGAACUUUUGUGAGGUACAGGUGUGGGUGUGUGACGACGGUUGGUAUGGAGACUGUACACAAGCCUGUGGUCGCUGUGCUGGUGGUGCUGUCUGUGACAAGGUGGACGGCAGCUGCACGUCCUGCCAGACAGGCUUCCAGUUACCAACGUGUAAAGUGUGUACAGACGGUUGGUAUGGAGACAACUGCACACAGACUUGUGGUAACUGUGCCAACAACUCUGUCUGCGACAAAACAACAGGCAGAUGUACAUCAUGUACAACAGGAUUUAAUCCACCUCUCUGUAAAGAAUGUGCUUAUGGUUGGUAUGGAGAUAGCUGUCUGCAGACUUGUGGUAACUGUGUUGGUAACUCUGUCUGUGACAAGACAACAGGCAGUUGUUCAUCCUGUCAAACAGGAUUCUACCCACCAUUGUGUAAAGAAUGUCAGUUGGGUUGGUAUGGAAACAGCUGCCAGGACUCCUGUGGCCACUGUGUGGGAGGUAACACUACCUGUGACAAGGUGAGCGGAAGCUGCCCCUCCUGUGAUGGAGCGUUUCAGCCUCCUUUGUGUAAAGACAUGUGUGACGACGGUUGGUAUGGAGACAACUGUACACAAGCCUGUGGUCACUGUGUUGGCGGGUCUGUUUGUGACAAGGUGUACGGAUACUGUACGUCCUGUGAGACUGGCUUCCAGUUACCCCGGUGUGAUGCAACAUCUGACAAAGACAAGGAGACUGUCAGUCUGGCAGGUCCUAUGGCCGGUGUUGCGGUUGGCUGCAGUGUCGCAUUUUUCAUUAUCGGGCUCGUAACUGGUGCCUGAGGAAAUUCCGGAUUAAACAUCCUUCAUCAUCACUCCGCUCACCUGAUGAUACUUCAAUGACCCAUGAACUCGGUACUUCCAUACCCAUUCCUCAUCACGAAGAAAAGCCAGACAUCAGUCCCUCAUCAAACACC